rnacentral:rRNA from 1 species
GAUGAACGCUGGCGGCGUGCUUAACACAUGCAAGUCGAGCGAUGAAGUUUCCUUCGGGAAACGGAUUAGCGGCGGACGGGUGAGUAACACGUGGGUAACCUGCCUCAUAGAGUGGAAUAGCCUUCCGAAAGGAAGAUUAAUACCGCAUAAUGUUGAAAGAUGGCAUCAUCAUUCAACCAAAGGAGCAAUCCGCUAUGAGAUGGACCCGCGGCGCAUUAGCUAGUUGGUGGGGUAACGGCCUACCAAGGCGACGAUGCGUAGCCGACCUGAGAGGGUGAUCGGCCACAUUGGGACUGAGACACGGCCCAGACUCCUACGGGAGGCAGCAGUGGGGAAUAUUGCACAAUGGGGGAAACCCUGAUGCAGCAACGCCGCGUGAGUGAUGAAGGUUUUCGGAUCGUAAAGCUCUGUCUUUGGGGAAGAUAAUGACGKWCCC